UACGUAGGAGGCAAGCGUUGUCCGGAAUCAUUGGGCGUAAAGCGCGUGUAGGCGGCCUGGAAAGUCUGGUGUGAAAUCUUGGGGCUCAACCCCAAGCUGUCACUGGAUACUGUCAGGCUCGAGUCCGGAAGAGGAGUGUGGAAUUCCUGGUGUAGCGGUGGAAUGCGCAGAUAUCAGGAGGAACACCAAUGGCGAAGGCAGCACUCUGGUACGUGACUGACGCUGAGACGCGAAAGCGUGGGGAGCAAACAGG
rnacentral:rRNA from 1 species